GUCUCUGGCCAUGCUACCCUGAACAAGCCCGAUCUCAUCUGAACUCGUAAGCUAAGCAAGGUCAGGCCUACUUCAGUACUUGGAUGGGAGACCACGUAGGAAGACGAGGUGCUGUAGGAG
rnacentral:rRNA from 1 species